CACCUGCUCUGGGCCAAGCAAGUCAGGAGGCCAGCCCAGAUUCCGGGGGAGGGAGUGGCGCCCACCUCUCACUGGGAGGAGCAGCGUGUGCAUGAGCGCGGGGCAGGAGGCAGGGCUGGCCACCUGCUUAGAGACCCCGUCUACGUCAGGAGGUGUCCCCUCCUCCACCACCACUGCCAUGGUUUCAACGAGGAUCAGUCAAGGAAGCGGAUGUGGCUCAACGGAUAGGGCCAGGGAGGUCCACGGGUCCUUGACCCGUGUGGAGCUGGCCCAUGCGCAGUGCUGAUGCGCGCAAGGAGUGCCCUGCCACACAGGGGUGUUCCCGCGUAGGGGAGCCCCACGUGCAGGGAGUGCACCCGUAAGGAAAGCCGCCCAGCGUGAGAGAAAGUGCAGCCUGCCCAGGAAUGGCGCCGCUCACACGGAGAGCUGACACAACGAGAGGACACAACAGAAAGAAACACAGAUUCCCGGUGCCACGGACACAAGCCAACACAGAGGAACACACAGCGAAUGGACGCAAAGAGCAGACAACGGGGCUGGGAGGGAGG
rnacentral:lncRNA from 1 species